rnacentral:rRNA from 1 species
GACGAACGCUGGCGGCGUGCUUAACACAUGCAAGUCGAACGGAAAGGCCCUGCUUUUGUGGGGUGCUCGAGUGGCGAACGGGUGAGUAACACGUGAGUAACCUGCCCUUGACUUUGGGAUAACUUCAGGAAACUGGGGCUAAUACCGGAUAGGAGCUCCUGCUGCAUGGUGGGGGUUGGAAAGUUUCGGCGGUUGGGGAUGGACUCGCGGCUUAUCAGCUUGUUGGUGGGGUAGUGGCUUACCAAGGCUUUGACGGGUAGCCGGCCUGAGAGGGUGACCGGCCACAUUGGGACUGAGAUACGGCCCAGACUCCUACGGGAGGCAGCAGUGGGGAAUAUUGCACAAGGGGCGGAAGCCUGAUGCAGCAACGCCGCGUGCGGGAUGACGGCCUUCGGGUGGUAAACCGCUUUCGCCUGUGACGAAGCGUGAGUGACGGUAAUGGGUAAAGAAGCACCGGCUAACUACGU